rnacentral:rRNA from 1 species
UACGUAGGGUGCGAGCGUUAAUCGGAAUUACUGGGCGUAAAGCGUGCGCAGGCGGUGAUGUAAGACAGGUGUGAAAUCCCCGGGCUUAACCUGGGAACUGCAUUUGUGACUGCAUCGCUGGAGUGCGGCAGAGGGGGAUGGAAUUCCGCGUGUAGCAGUGAAAUGCGUAGAUAUGCGGAGGAACACCGAUGGCGAAGGCAAUCCCCUGGGCCUGCACUGACGCUCAUGACGAAAGCGUGGGGAGCAAACAGG